GCUGCUUACCUGCAGUCGAACGAUGAAGGAAGCUUGCUUCUGGAUUAGUGGCGAACGGGUGAGUAACACGUGAGUAACCUGCCCUUGACUCUGGGAUAAGCACUGGAAACGGUGUCUAAUACCGGAUACGAACCUCAGCCGCAUGGCUAGGGGUUGGAAAGAAUUUUGGUCAAGGAUGGACUCGCGGCCUAUCAGCUAGUUGGUGAGGUAACGGCCCACCAAGGCGACGACGGGUAGCCGGCCUGAGAGGGUGACCGGCCACACUGGGACUGAGACACGGCCCAGACUCCUACGGGAGGCAGCAGUGGGGAAUAUUGCACAAUGGGCGAAAGCCUGAUGCAGCAACGCCGCGUGAGGGACGACGGCCUUCGGGUUGUAAACCUCUUUUAGUAGGGAAGAAGCGAAAGUGACGGUACCUGCAGAAAAAGCACCGGCUAACUACGUGCCAGCAGCCGCGGUAAUACGUAGGGUGCAAGCGUUGUCCGGAAUUAUUGGGGCGUAAAGAGCUCGUAGGCGGUUUGUCGCGUCCUGCUGUGAAAACCCGAGGCUCAACCUCGGGCCUGCAGUGGGUACGGGCAGACUAGAGUGCGGUAGGGGGAGAUUGGAAUUCCUGGUGGUAGCGGUGGAAUGCGCAGAUAUCAGGAGGAACACCGAUGGCGAAGGCAGAUCUCUGGGCCGUAACUGACGCUGAGGAGCGAAAGCAUGGGGAGCGAACAGGAUUAGAUACCCUGGUAGUCCAUGCCGUAAACGUUGGGAACUAGAUGUAGGGGCCAUUCCACGGUUUCUGUGUCGCAGCUAACGCAUUAAGUUCCCCGCCUGGGGAGUACGGCCGCAAGGCUAAAACUCAAAGGAAUUGACGGGGGCCCGCACAAGCGGCGGAGCAUGCGGAUUAAUUCGAUGCAACGCGAAGAACCUUACCAAGGCUUGACAUAUACCGGAAAAGUUCAGAAAUGUUCUCCCCGCAAGGUCGGUAUACAGGUGGUGCAUGGUUGUCGUCAGCUCGUGUCGUGAGAUGUUGGGUUAAGUCCCGCAACGAGCGCAACCCUCGUUCUAUGUUGCCAGCACGUAAUGGUGGGAACUCAUAGGAGACUGCCGGGGUCAACUCGGAGGAAGGUGGGGAUGACGUCAAAUCAUCAUGCCCCUUAUGUCUUGGGCUUCACGCAUGCUACAAUGGCCGAUACAAAGGGCUGCAAUACCGUAAGGUGGAGCGAAUCCCAAAAAGUCGGUCUCAGUUCGGAUUGAGGUCUGCAACUCGACCUCAUGAAGUCGGAGUCGCUAGUAAUCGCAGAUCAGCAACGCUGCGGUGAAUACGUUCCCGGGCCUUGUACACACCGCCCGUCAAGUCAUGAAAGUCGGUAACACCCGAAGCCAGUGGCCUAACCGCAAGGAAGGAGCGUCGAA
rnacentral:rRNA from 1 species